AAGGAAAUGAUUUGCUCAGGAUGAGGAAUGAAGACGGCCAUCUUGUGCUCAAACAAACACAAGUCCUCUGAUGAUCUCAUCAGCCAAAUGAGGGGUUUUGACCAAGUGAUGCUCUUGAAAGAAGUGAAACAAGAGGAUGUGGUAAAUUGUCUUCAGAGAAAAAGCUUCUCUAAAGGUCUUAAAGCAGCUUGAAGAAUGGUCUGGGAUGUUAGGACUGAGAGAUCCUCUGGCUGAGAACAAGCUACACCACAUCAGUGCUGGAUAUCAACCACAAACUGUUUCCAGACACAAGAGAAGAAGAUCACGAUGGGGAGAUGAAACCAGUUUAGAUGUGAUGAUAAGCAAUCAUUUUUUUCUGAAACAGUAUCAAAUGUCUUAUAUGUAUCACAUGACCUGUAUCACAGAUGACUGGAUGGGACUGCGUGACUUUUAAGGACAUUUCAUCACUCAUCUGUGUGAACUGAUUAAUAUAUGAGGUUAAUGUAUUUUUGAUGAUAAAUAAUUAUUUUCCU